GCCCACCAUGCGAUCAUGAAAAACUAUCUGUGUCCUGGCUAUUUACAAUUACCUACUUGUUUGGGAAAGAUUUCUUCUCUUCCUUCCACGUCUCCUAAGCUGUGUGCACGGUGAAAAGGUUGGGGCUGGGCAGCCUUGGUUUUUUGUUGGUUUUUUUUUUUCCCCCUCGGCUGUGUUUAUCCACCCAAGAAAGUAUUUUAAGUACUUUGUUUCCAUUAUGCUAUUCUGAGCCCAUUACUUGGUGGGGUGAUUAAAGAUUGCUUUUGGCAAGAGAAGAGAAGACAAAGUGUUUGUUACUUCCAUGACUGUUAGCCUUUUCCAGGGAGCCUUCAAAGGGAAAAACAUAAACAUAUGGGACACAAAAUACAUAUUGGCUUCGUAAUGGGAGCCCUGGAGAAUGUCUGGCCCUUCACCUUUGCCUGGAAUCCGAGUAGCUGUAGCUGGGACAGGCAGCAGGAGAAGGACUCUUUCUAGGGCCUCUCGGAGGCUACCGACUUCUGGGUUCUUCUCUCUUCCUCUUCAUCUGGGUGUGCACUGAUCCUUUCGCUCGGCUCGGAUCUUCCUCGCGAGCUUCCCCAUCCUUUCCAUCGGUAUUUGGACGCAGCCCCGGAGGAGACAGGUGAGGUCUCGACCCUCGUGGGGCUGGAGACUUCGAGCGUGGCACACAAACGUUAACGAUGCCGCAGGUGCCCAGAGGUAACUCCCGGCCUCUGCCUCCUUCCUGCGUGUCUAACCAGCCACCUGCUCGCCACGAGCUCAUCGCCCACCCCAGCGACCCAGCACGUGGGCACAUGGCUGCAAGCCCCUGGAGACGAGCAGAAUUUCCAGACCCGAGAAAUGAAAAGACUUUCCAGGACACGCAAUGCACAACGGCCCAUUAAAAAAAUAAAUAAAGAUAUCUUUCAUUUAAAAAAAUUUUU
rnacentral:lncRNA from 1 species